ACGUCUGUAGCUCAGUGGUAGGGCAUCUGCUUUGCAUGCAGAAGAGCCCCUGCCAGUCAGCAUAGAUCAGUGUUGUUGAACCUUGGGUCCCCAGAUGUG